UGAUGUGAAGACAGAGACACAUGGGGAGACGACAGCCAAGUGACUACAGAGGCAGAUGUUGGAGUGAUACAUCUACGAAGCCAGGGAACACCAAGGAUUGCUGGCCACCACCAGACACUAGGAAAAGGAAAGGAAGGAUUCUACUCAGAGUCUCAGAGAGAGAAAAGCCCUUGAUUUUGGAUUUCUAGCCUUCAGAACUGUGAGGGAGACUCCAUACUUCAGAGUGAUCAGAUCCUGAUUAGAAGCUGCAACAUUCAUGGGCAUUAAUCUUAUCAAUCCUUGAGAAGUGCCACCUGCUAAGAUUGAGCCCUGAAAUGACUUCCUGGUUUGGAUCAAUCCAGAUGAGCAUUUCUUAUUGAGGAGGAGCUGGCAAGCAAAGGAGGAACCAUGAGUCCCCAUCACCACUCCAUCAUGUCAAGAUCUCCUCAGGUGGCUGAAAUUUUCACAGCUUGUUAGGUGGCUCUGGCUUUCACAGUUUGUGGCCCUGAAUGACUGCUAGGGGAACGGCAUUUUCACUCCCUCCCGAAGCCAAGCUUCACAGUGGAAAUGUGCGAGUUGUGCCAAUAGCCUCCCAGAAAUCCUGUGGUUGUGGCAGAUGCAAGCUAACUCAGCAUGGAGAUGAGAUUUCUUCCAGAUUGGGAAUUGAUGUCCCAAACAGAAAGUGAAUCAUACUGACUUCGUUCUCAAAGUUUCUUCAGCUCAGUUUCUGGACAUGGCUUGGCUUCAUUUUGCUCAGGGUCUCAUAGGCCACAGUGAAAGCACU